rnacentral:rRNA from 1 species
CCUACGGGAUGCUGCAGUGGGGAAUAUUGGACAAUGGGCGAAAGCCUGAUCCAGCCAUGCCGCGUGUGUGAAGAAGGCCUUCGGGUUGUAAAGCACUUUCAGUGGGGAAGAAAGCCUUGGGGCUAAUACCCUCGAGGAAGGACAUCACCCACAGAAGAAGCACCGGCUAACUCCGUGCCAGCAGCCGCGGUAAUACGGAGGGUGCGAGCGUUAAUCGGAAUUACUGGGCGUAAAGCGCGCGUAGGCGGUCUGAUAAGCCGGUUGUGAAAGCCCCGGGCUCAACCUGGGAACGGCAUCCGGAACUGUCAGGCUAGAGUGCAGGAGAGGAAGGUAGAAUUCCCGGUGUAGCGGUGAAAUGCGUAGAGAUCGGGAGGAAUACCAGUGGCGAAGGCGGCCUUCUGGACUGACACUGACGCUGAGGUGCGAAAGCGUGGGUAGCAAACAGGAUUAGAUACCCUGGUAGUC